rnacentral:rRNA from 1 species
GAUGAACGCUGGCGGCGUGCUUAACACAUGCAAGUCGAACGAUGAAGCCCAGCUUGCUGGGUGGAUUAGUGGCGAACGGGUGAGUAACGCGUGAGUAACCUGCCCUUAACUCUGGGAUAAGCCUGGGAAACUGGGUCUAAUACCGGAUAGGAGCGUCCACCGCAUGGUGGGUGUUGGAAAGAUUUAUCGGUUUUGGAUGGACUCGCGGCCUAUCAGCUUGUUGGUGAGGUAAUGGCUCACCAAGGCGACGACGGGUAGCCGGCCUGAGAGGGUGACCGGCCAAACUGGGACUGAGACACGGCCCAGACUCCUACGGGAGGCAGCAGUGGGGAAUAUUGCACAAUGGGCGAAAGCCUGAUGCAGUGACGCCGCGUGAGGGAUGACGGCCUUCGGGUUGUAAACCUCUUUCAGUAGGGAAGAAGCGAAAGUGACGGUACCUGCAGAAGAAGCACCGGCUAACUACGUGCCAGCCGCCGCCGUAA